CCCACCCUAGCAGCCAUCCCCUUUUGUGCCUUGCCCAAGAGAAGAAAGGAAGAACAAGGGAGAGAAGAGAGGGAAGAUUAGGGCACACAGUCGCCUGUCGUCGUCAUCGUUCCUCUUCAAGAAUUGGUGGUUAUGCUCCGGAUCAUGCUUAGUACAUUUUCUUCUUCGAUGAAGGCAAGUGAAUGUAGCGGUGGUUGCUACUGUUUUGACUUGUUGUUUCAUCGCCUACACUCUAGUAUUCAGAAUCAUCGAAUUCUUUCGUAAUUGAACUCUAUGGGAUGUUUUACUUGAUUAUAUUAUAUUGAUGCUUAAUCAUAUAUUGAUGAUGAUGAUGAUUCGAGUAUGACCCACGAGAUUAAUUCACACUCCUGAAGGUGAAUGAAGUAUUAUUUGAGGUUUGUAUUGUAUCUGAAGGUAAACGAAGUAUUGUUUGAGGUUUGUAUUGUAUUUGAAGGAAGUGAAGUAUAUUGAUAAAUGCAGCAUGCCAUAUACAUUGCAUGAUUCACUUGCAUCUGAAGUUUUGUCGUGACCUAUGGUCCGACCGUACCGGUACAACUUAGCAUCGUACGUUGCCCGAGGAGGGGUACGAUGCGGCUUCAUACCCUUAGAGGUAUGAAGGCAGAGGACAUAUGCAUUGCAUUCAUAUGCAUUCAUUGAAGUGAUAUUUGCAGAUGGUGUGGUUUUAUACUCUAAGAGAUAUGAAGGCAGAGGACUUACACAUUGCAUUCCUAUGCAUACAUUGAAGUGAUAUUUGAAGGUAUUGUUGACGCAGGGAAGUGUUAUACAACCUAUUGUGGUCGUUCGAGGAAAUGAGAUGGCAUUGGUUAUUUUGGGACUAUUGAGUUCUAUAUCUACAAGUAUUUCUGAUCUCAAUUGUGAUCCCUUUUUAAAUGUUGAUUAAUUCAAUUCUUUUGGUUUAAAUAUCUCGUCAAAAUAUUUUACUUGCUGAGAUGUUUCAUCUCACUCUUGCAUUACUCAAUGCAGGUACUUAAUUCAUGUUGGGAAUGAGGGAAGUAGCAGCACGUCCACCUUCACUCUCAUAAUAACGCUGCCCAGGCACAACCAUGAUUUAAUUAGAAACUUCUUGUCAAGGAUGUUUGUUUUUAACUAGUCGUGCACACUAGUUAAUUCAGUUUAUGUCGUUAUGGUUAUCUUCCCAUUGCUAGCAGAUUAUUAAUGUCUAGUAUGUUUUCUUAUCAUGAUAUCUGUUUAUACUCUGUUGCUUCCACGUUUAUGCAAAUUUCCAAAGGAGAUACUGUCGAAAUUUUAUAUAUGAAUGUUAGUUGUGUAGUUUAGUAGCAUUUCAGGGUGUUUGUGGAUCCUGGGGUGUUACAGUUGGUAUCAAAGCAUAGGCUUUAGAUUCUUGGCAAUUUGAAGAUAAAUUUGACACACUUGCACAUAUAGGAAGGUUGUGGGUUCAAAUAUCUUUGAUAUAUGUUAAUGUCUUUGAAGUGCAGAUGAAAUAAUUUCACCCUCCCUAAUCCUUUACGGUGAUGUGGUAAGUUGUUUAUGACUUAAUGCCUGAUAUAAUUCAUUUCUAAAUUUUGAUAUUGUUUAUUAAUAAGAUUGAUAUCGCUGUUCUUUUGUGAGAUUGAAGUCGUUAUUAUGCUUGUGAUAUACGUGUAUGCCUAUGUUGUUUUCAACAUGUUUUUCAUGGUUGAGUUUUAUUACAAUAAUAUUGUUAUAUAUGUUUGAUCGAGGAUGUUUCCAAGAGGAGUGUGAAUUGCAUGUUUUGGGUUACAAGGUAACCAUCGAUUUGGAUUUAAGUUGUUGGGCGGUUGGUGGAUAGCUCCAACUAUCUUUGCAAGGAAUGAUUGUUUAUGCCGAGAAACCAGUUCUGAAAGAAAUGAAUAUUGGUACUUUUAUAUGGAUUUUGGGGGGAAAGUCUUUACAUAGCUAGCCAGAGUGGAUAACAUGUCUCCCUUCUAUCUUGUGUUUUAGUAGCCACAAAGCCUAGAUGUGGUUUAAAGUGGUUGCAUGUUAGUCAUGCUAAUUGUAGAAUAAAUCUUUUAUUUUCUUGAUCCAUUGAUUAUAUAUUAAUACGUUGAGGAUCUGAUGGUUAUCUCCCUGAUGCAUGCUUGUGGAGCCAUUGUUGGACCACUUAUCUAUUGGUUUGAAUGAAGUCAUUGCCUAGCCUAGAGUUGGUUGGGUGUGGUAAGUCACCUAUUUCUAAAUGAUGUGGUUCUUACAUCAGAUUGAGAUGUUUGUCAUGUGUGUGAAGGAUUACAGGGUUAUUAUUGACCCUAUAUGUCUGGUACUUUGAGUGCAUCGUAUGAUGGAAUGAAAUGUAAGUUUCUGAACUACAGUAGAUGAAGACUUAUA